CCUUUUGUAUAAUGGGUCAGCGACUUAUAUUCUGUAGCAAGGUUAACCGAAUAGGGGAGCCGAAGGGAAACCGAGUCUUAACUGGGCGUUAAGUUGCAGGGUAUAGACCCGAAACCCGGUGAUCUAGCCAUGGGCAGGUUGAAGGUUGGGUAACACUAACUGGAGGACCGAACCGACUAAUGUUGAAAAAUUAGCGGAUGACUUGUGGCUGGGGGUGAAAGGCCAAUCAAACCGGGAGAUAGCUGGUUCUCCCCGAAAGCUAUUUAGGUAGCGCCUCGUGAAUUCAUCUCCGGGGGUAGAGCACUGUUUCGGCAAGGGGGUCAUCCCGACUUACCAACCCGAUGCAAACUGCGAAUACCGGAGAAUGUUAUCACGGGAGACACACGGCGGGUGCUAACGUCCGUCGUGAAGAGGGAAACAACCCAGACCGCCAGCUAAGGUCCCAAAGUCAUGGUUAAGUGGGAAACGAUGUGGGAAGGCCCAGACAGCCAGGAUGUUGGCUUAGAAGCAGCCAUCAUUUAAAGAAAGCGUAAUAGCUCACUGGUCGAGUCGGCCUGCGCGGAAGAUGUAACGGGGCUAAACCAUGCACCGAAGCUGCGGCAGCGACGCUGAUGCGUUGUUGGGUAGGGGAGCGUUCUGUAAGCCUGCGAAGGUGUGCUGUGAGGCAUGCUGGAGGUAUCAGAAGUGCGAAUGCUGACAUAAGUAACGAUAAAGCGGGUGAAAAGCCCGCUCGCCGGAAGACCAAGGGUUCCUGUCCAACGUUAAUCGGGGCAGGGUGAGUCGACCCCUAAGGCGAGGCCGAAAGGCGUAGUCGAUGGGAAACAGGUUAAUAUUCCUGUACUUGGUGUUACUGCGAAGGGGGGACGGAGAAGGCUAUGUUGGCCGGGCGGCGGUUGUCCCGGUUUAAGCGU
rnacentral:rRNA from 1 species